GGUCGCGGAGGAGUACUGUCCCAAUCCCCUCGUCCAACCUUCUUCAACCUCCUCUUUCAAGGAUACCAGCUAGAAGCACAACACCCUGCCUGCCCGUCCUCUUCUUCGUUGGUUGGAAACGUACAGAUCCAGAUCCGUUUUAUUGAAGCAAGGCAUGAACUGCCAUGGUGAUCAGAACUGACUAUUGCAAUUAUU